ensembl:miRNA
GCUGGGCGUGGUGGCGGGCGCCUGUGAUCCCAGCUACUCAGGAGGCUGAGGCACGAGAAUCGCUUGAACCCAGGAGGUGGAGGUUGCAGUGAGC